UAAGGGAGUACUUGUACGUAAUUGCGGAGUCUGACCCUGCCUUCUUUGUUCCUUGCCACAUGUCCCUGAGGGCAACAAAGAGAACAUUUCUACCCAUUACAUGAUGCAAAGACAUGUGGGCCUCCAGAUUUACUGCUGGCUGAACAUUUUCAAAGGGUGAUGGGAAUACGAACAUCAGGCUCUACAUCGUGAGCUCGCCUGGUGCUUUGAGCCAUGUCAGGAGGCUUUAAUUUUCAGGUUACUGAUGGUUUGAACUUUGCACCACGACAAAUUUUUAGCAUCACCGCUCGAACCCUGACCCUUAGCUUAGAAGUAAACCGAGGACUGAGCAUCUUUCCAGAUGUCUCAAGUUCGUUCAAGAGCCAACUUCUCCCCCAAAUGUCCACAGA